rnacentral:rRNA from 1 species
UACGUAGGGGGCAAGCGUUGUCCGGAUUUACUGGGCGUAAAGAGCGUGUAGGCGGCCAAGCAGGUCCGUUGUGAAAACUCGAGGCUCAACCUCGAGACGUCGAUGGAAACCAUCUGGCUAGAGUCCGGAAGAGGAAAGUGGAAUUCCAAGUGUAGCGGUGAAAUGCGUAGAGAUUUGGAGGAACACCAGUGGCGAAGGCGACUUUCUGGUCUGUAACUGACACUGAGGCGCGAAAGCGUGGGGAGCGAACAGG